rnacentral:rRNA from 1 species
GGGUGAAAGAUUUAUCACCUGAAGAUGAGCUCGCGUCUGAUUAGCUAGUAGGUGUGGUAAGAGCGCACCUAGGCGACGAUCAGUAGCUGGUCUGAGAGGAUGACCAGCCACACUGGGACUGAGACACGGCCCAGACUCCUACGGGAGGCAGCAGUGGGGAAUUUUCCGCAAUGGGCGAAAGCCUGACGGAGCAAUACCGCGUGAGGGAGGAAGGCUCUUGGGUUGUAAACCUCUUUUCUCAGGGAAUAAGAAAGUGAAGGUACCUGAGGAAUCAGCAUCGGCUAACUCCGUGCCAGCAGCCGCGGUAAUACGGAGGAUGCAAGCGUUAUCCGGAAUGAUUGGGCGUAAAGCGUCCGCAGGUGGUUGCUCAAGUCUGCUGUCAAAGAGUCUGGCUUAACCAGAUAAAGGCAGUGGAAACUGAGAGACUAGAGUGCGGUAGGGGCAGAGGGAAUUCCUGGUGUAGCGGUGAAAUGCGUAGAGAUCAGGAAGAACACCGAUGGCGAAA